rnacentral:rRNA from 1 species
GAUCUGGCUCAGGAUGAACGCUAGCGACAGGCUUAACACAUGCAAGUCGAGGGGCAGCAUAAAAGUAGCAAUACGUUGGUGGCGACCGGCGCACGGGUGAGUAACGCGUAUGCAACCUACCUAUCAGGAGGGGAAUAACCCGGCGAAAGUCGGACUAAUACCGCAUAAAACAGGGGGCACCGCAUGGUGAUAUUUGUUAAAGAAAUUCGCUGAUAGAUGGGCAUGCGUUCCAUUAGGUAGUUGGUGAGGUAACGGCUCACCAAGCCGACGAUGGAUAGGGGAACUGAGAGGUUGGUCCCCCACACUGGUACUGAGACACGGACCAGACUCCUGCGGGAGGCAGCAGUGAGGAAUAUUGGUCAAUGGGCGAGAGCCUGAACCAGCCAAGUCGCGUGGAAAAGGAAGAAGGAUCUAUGGUUCGUAAACUUCUUUUGCAGGGGAAUAAAGUGCAGGACGUGUCCUGUUUUGUAUGUACCCUGAGAAUAAGGAUCGGCUAACUCCGUGCCAGCCGCUGC